CUGCUGCUGCGUUUACGCGGUCGUGUGUAAAUACCUAAAGCGAGGGCGUCAGAACAUGGACCAGGCUCUGCUCGGUGGUGCCGAGCAAUAGGACUCAAGGCAACAGGCAGAAACUGAUGCACAGAAAGUUCCACACGAUCUAAGAACUUCACUGUGCAAUGAGCGAGCACUGGAUCGGGCUGCCCAGGACUUGUAUAAAAACAUCGGGUUUCUUCCUUGACACCGCAGUGUCUCACGGCUGCCUCUCCUGGAGCCAGUGACAGGUGCGGCUGCGAAGAAAGGCCAACAAAUCCCAACUCUCCAUCCCAGCUCUUUAGAGAAAGGCCUAGAGACCACAAGCCUGGAGCUGCCACCCAGCUGGGAGGUGCUGCAAGGAGGAGAAGCAAAAGUAGAGGUUGAAAUCAUUGCAACAGGGGGAUGAUGAUUCUAUAAACAUGAGAGCAGUGCUGCACUUAGCAAGAAAUCAACUGCACAGAGUAAUUGCAGUAAUAAACUUGCAGAAAAGAAACCAGUAGGCAGAGUGGAUCGUAAGCAGAACACAUCAAUUUCAUGAGGUUGGAAAAGGCAUCCACUCUGCUGAGAUGCAUAAUCAGAAGAGUUGCCACCAAGGUAACUUUGUGAAGUUGUGAAAAGAUAGGGUGGGAGCUAGAAGGGUACAACAACAAAAAGUCGUGUGUUUCAGAACUGAUUAAAAGAAAAUAAAAUAUCUGUGCUUUUAAUAAAAAACCAACCCAAAAGAGAGACUGAACAAAAAUAUGGAAACUGUCUUAAUUUGUGUAAAGGACUGCUGCAAAAAGAAAGGGAACGUUGUCUAUGUUCAAUUGGAAUGUAUCAGCUAAACUGCAGCAAAAGGUAUUUAAUCCAGACAUUCAAAAAAGAGAGUUAAGGACUAGACUAGAC